UGAACAUAUGUUUCACAAGAAUAUAAUUUAUACUAUUAGUUGUCCAAAUUUAAUAUUAAGAGAAUAUUACAAUAAUAAAAGAAGAUAUUAUUGAGGCAUUUUCACAAUUUAUUCUAGUCAAAAAAAUAUUAGCCAAAAAGUUUCAGUAAUAACCAUUUCAUUCAGACUCAAAAGAUUAUCCAAUACCCAGCAAAACUGCAAGGCACGGUUUUAGAUUUUUCCAGUUACUAUACAAAAGUUUGCCACAAGAUGCAGCCUUUCAUGGGUGAAAACUGUCCUCCACACACACUCACACCAAAACCAAUGUAUGAAACUUCAAAAACUAAUUUCUCACACAAACAGGUGGUUCUACUACUGCAAAAACAGCGGGAAUGCACCAAGGUUGCCAUCAAGAAGUGCACAAGAAGAUUCCCAGAAGCUUCUGCAUCUGAUUAUCUAGAACUGCUACUUGUAGCACAAUUCUCUGAGAGUACACUAAGGAAACAUAAUGAGAAUCAAAAACACAAAAGAUAGUUUUAUUUUUGGAGAAAGAAAUGAAAAAAGAUCUCCUAACAAUUUAGCUUAAUUGGAUCCAAGGCUUGAGUUUAAAUAAUACACAACACAAUUCUUGUAAAUACUUCCUCUAGCAAAACUGCCAUAAAAAACGAUACCAAAACUGAGUACCAUUCAUUACAGAGCUGUUACCAAACCAUAACUGCAUAGAGAAGGAUAAGCUGUUCCUCUUAUUCACCUUAGCCAAUUUACUUGGCUGUAACAUCUUGUAUGUGAUGCACAUGAACACCUCAUUCCCCUUUUCCAUUUUGAUGUGAAACAACAUAAUUGUGAAUAAUUUCCAUGGCUAACUGGUCAGCAGUCUUAUUCUGCAACUUUGCAAGUUCAUCAAUUUUAUCA
rnacentral:misc_RNA from 1 species